GAUGAAGAACGUAGCGAAAUGCGAUAAGUAAUGCGAAUUGCAGAAUUCAGUGAGUCAUCGAAUCUUUGAACGCACAUUGCGCCCUGUGGUAUUCCGCAGGGCAUGCCUGUUCGAGCGUCAUUUCAACCCUCAAGCCUCGCUUGGUGUUGGGCCCUGCCCGCCGCGGCCGGCCCUAAAGAUAGUGGCGGCGCCGUCUGGCCCUCAGCGUAGUACAGCUCUCGCUCCAGGGUCCGGCGGUAGCCUGCCAGAACCCCCCAACUCUGUGGUUGACCUCGGAUCAGGUAGGGAUACCCGCUGAACUUAAGCAUAUCAAUAAGCGGAGGA
rnacentral:misc_RNA from 1 species